CUGCCAGACUCCUACGGGAGGCAGCAGUGAGGAAUAUUGGUCAAUGGCCGAGAGGCUGAACCAGCCAAGUCGCGUGAGGGAAGACGGCCCUACGGGUUGUAAACCUCUUUUGUCGGGGAGCAAAGCGAACCACGUGUGGUUCAUUGAGAGUACCCGAAGAAAAAGCAUCGGCUAACUCCGUGCCAGCAGCCGCGGUAAUACGGAGGAUGCGAGCGUUAUCCGGAUUUAUUGGGUUUAAAGGGUGCGUAGGGCGGACGGUUAGGUCAGGGGAAAAAGCCGGGGGCCCAACCCGGGCGAGCCGUUGAAACUGGCUGCCUUGAGAUGUCGAGAGGUAUGCGGAAUGCGCAGUGUAGCGGUGAAAUGCUUAGAUAUUGCGCAGAACUCCGAUUGCGAAGGCAGCAUACCGGCGGCGAUCUGACGCUGAGGCACGAAAGCGUGGGUAUCGAACAGGAUUAGAUACCCUGGUAC
rnacentral:rRNA from 1 species